CUCUGUUCUCUCCUAGAGGCUUUAGUUUUGUCUCAUGAGACUGAGAACAGAAAUCCAGGAAGAGAAUGAUUUGAUCCUGACCCACCAGACUUCUUUCAUAACAGAAUGGAGGAAACUGAGAAAACACUGCCUGGAUAAGUUAUACCAUCCUUGCCGGUCCAUGUCUUGAAGAACUCAUUGUUAGUGUUAAGUAUCUGACCAGCUGGAGAAUGCAAAGGAAAAGGUUAAACAACAGAAGAGCAGCCUUUUUUCAAUUCUUCUUAUGAAAAAGCUAACCUUGUGGAUGAAAAGAGGAUGAAGACGUCUGCAGGAAAUCCCGGCGAUUUCUAUUACAGGACAUCAUUUCCCACUGGCUUUGACCUGUACAAAAACUGUGGUUUUCAGCUGUUCUCAUUACAAAUGAAGUUUGAAAUAAAAAUUUCUUAUUAUCGUUGGA